rnacentral:rRNA from 1 species
AGUGAACGCUGGCGGUAGGCCUAACACAUGCAAGUCGAACGGCAGCACAGUAAGAGCUUGCUCUUACGGGUGGCGAGUGGCGGACGGGUGAGGUAUACAUCGGACUCUACUUUUUCGUGGGGGAUCACGUAGGGAAACUUACGCUAAUACAGCAUACGACCUACGGGUGAAAGCAGGGGAUAUUCGGACCUUGCGCGAUUGAAUGAGCCGAUGUCGGAUUAGAUAGUUGGCGGGGUAAAGGCCCACCAAGGCGACGAUCCGUAGCUGGUCUGAGAGGAUGAUCAGCCACACGGGAACUGAGACACGGUCCAGAGUCCUACGGGAGGCAGCAGUGGGGAAUAUUGGACAAUAGGCGCAAGCCUGGUCCAGCCAUACCGCGUGGGAGAAGAAGGCCUUCGGGUUGUAAAGCCGUUUUGUUGGGAAAGAAAAGCAUCAGGUUAAUACCCCGCUGUUCUGACGGUACCCAAAGAAUAAGCACCGGCUAACUUCGUG